rnacentral:sRNA from 1 species
ACAAGCCCUGGAAGACAGGGACCAGCCCAGGUGCUGACCGGAUAUCUCAACUACAUGGUCCAGCUGGGGAAGCUGCUGGGCGGCGGGGACGAGGAGACCAUCCGGCCCCAGAUGCAGCAGAUCUUGGACUUUGAGACGGCACUGGCCAACAUCACCAUCCCACAGGAGAAGCGCCGUGACGAGGAGCUCAUCUACCACAAAGUGACGGCAGCCGAGCUGCAGACCUUGGCACCCGCCAUCAACUGGUUACCUUUUCUCAACACCAUCUUCUACCCCGUGGAGAUCAAUGAAUCCGAGCCUAUUGUGGUCUAUGACAAGGAAUACCUUGAGCAGGUCUCCACUCUCAUCAACACCACCGACAAAUGCCUGCUCAACAACUACAUGAUCUGGAACCUGGUGCGGAAAACAAGCUCCUUCCUUGACCAGCGCUUUCAGGACGCCGAUGAAAAGUUCAUGGAAGUCAUGUACGGGACCAAGAAGACCUGUCUUCCUCGCUGGAAGUUUUGCGUGAGUGACACAGAAAACAACCUGGGCUUUGCGUUGGGCCCCAUGUUCGUCAAAGCAACCUUCGCCGAG